CAGGCCUAACACAUGCAAGUCGAACGGUAACAGGAAGCAGCUUGCUGCUUCGCUGACGAGUGGCGGACGGGUGAGUAAUGUCUGGGAAACUGCCUGAUGGAGGGGGAUAACUACUGGAAACGGUAGCUAAUACCGCAUAACGUCGCAAGACCAAAGAGGGGGACCUUCGGGCCUCUUGCCAUCGGAUGUGCCCAGAUGGGAUUAGCUAGUAGGUGGGGUAACGGCUCACCUAGGCGACGAUCCCUAGCUGGUCUGAGAGGAUGACCAGCCACACUGGAACUGAGACACGGUCCAGACUCCUACGGGAGGCAGCAGUGGGGAAUAUUGCACAAUGGGCGCAAGCCUGAUGCAGCCAUGCCGCGUGUAUGAAGAAGGCCUUCGGGUUGUAAAGUACUUUCAGCGGGGAGGAAGGUGUUGAGGUUAAUAACCUCAGCAAUUGACGUUACCCGCAGAAGAAGCACCGGCUAACUCCGUGCCAGCAGCCGCGGUAAU
rnacentral:rRNA from 1 species